CUUGCUUCUCUUGAGAGCGGCGGACGGGUGAGUAAUGCCUAGGAAUCUGCCUGGUAGUGGGGGAUAACGUUCGGAAACGGACGCUAAUACCGCAUACGUCCUACGGGAGAAAGCAGGGGACCUUCGGGCCUUGCGCUAUCAGAUGAGCCUAGGUCGGAUUAGCUAGUUGGUGGGGUAAUGGCUCACCAAGGCGACGAUCCGUAACUGGUCUGAGAGGAUGAUCAGUCACACUGGAACUGAGACACGGUCCAGACUCCUACGGGAGGCAGCAGUGGGGAAUAUUGGACAAUGGGCGAAAGCCUGAUCCAGCCAUGCCGCGUGUGUGAAGAAGGUCUUCGGAUUGUAAAGCACUUUAAGUUGGGAGGAAGGGUUGUAGAUUAAUACUCUGCAAUUUUGACGUUACCGACAGAAUAAGCACCGGCUAACUCUGUGCCAGCAGCCGCGGUAAUACAGAGGGUGCAAGCGUUAAUCGGAAUUACUGGGUGUAAAGCGCGCGUAGGUGGUUUGUUAAGUUGGAUGUGAAAUCCCCGGGCUCAACCUGGGAACUGCAUUCAAAACUGACUGACUAGAGUAUGGUAGAGGGUGGUGGAAUUUCCUGUGUAGCGGUGAAAUGCGUAGAUAUAGGAAGGAACACCAGUGGCGAAGGCGACCACCUGGACUAAUACUGACACUGAGGUGCGAAAGCGUGGGGAGCAAACAGGAUUA
rnacentral:rRNA from 1 species